AGAAUCAACGCUGGCGGCGUGCCUAACACAUGCAAGUCGCACGAGAAAGGGUAGCAAUACCUGAGUACAGUGGCGCACGGGUGAGUAACACGUGAAUAAUCUACCUCCGAGUGGGGAAUAACUGAGAGAAAUCUUAGCUAAUACCGCAUAAUACCCACGGGUCAAAGCAGCAAUGCGCUUGGAGAGGAGUUCGCGGCAGAUUAGUUAGUUGGCGGGGUAAUGGCCACCAAGACGAUGAUCUGUAUCCGGCCUGAGAGGGCGCACGGACACACUGGAACUGAAACACGGUCCAGACUCCUACGGGAGGCAGCAGUGGGGAAUUUUGCGCAAUGGGGGAAACCCUGACGCAGCAACGCCGCGUGGAGGAUGAAGCCCCUUGGGUGUAAACUCUUUCGAUCGGGAAGAUAAUGACGGUACCGAUAUAAGAAGCCCGGCUAACUUCGUGCCAGCAGCCGC
rnacentral:rRNA from 1 species